rnacentral:rRNA from 1 species
ACGCACGCUGGCGGCGUGCUUAACACAUGCCAGUCGAACGGAAAGGCCCUGCUUUUGUGGGGUGCUCGAGUGGCGAACGGGUGAGUAACACGUGAGUAACCUGCCCUUGACUUUGGGAUAACUUCAGGAAACUGGGGCUAAUACCGGAUAGGAGCUCCUGCUGCAUGGUGGGGGUUGGAAAGUUUCGGCGGUUGGGGAUGGACUCGCGGCUUAUCAGCUUGUUGGUGGGGUAGUGGCUUACCAAGGCUUUGACGGGUAGCCGGCCUGAGAGGGUGACCGGCCACAUUGGGACUGAGAUACGGCCCAGACGCCUACGGGAGGCAGCAGUGGGGAAUAUUGCACAAUGGGCGGAAGCCUGAUGCAGCAACGCCGCGUGCGGGAUGACGGCCUUCGGGUUGUAAACCGCUUUCGCCUGUGACGAAGCGUGAGUGACGGUAAUGGGUAAAGAAGCACCGGCUAACUACGUG